rnacentral:lncRNA from 1 species
UUUUUGUCAUUGUUUAACUUGAUAAACUCAUUAAAUAAAGAAAAACCUUGGGCCGCCGCCUCCCACCGCCAAGGAGUUAAAGGCAAUUCUGAACAAAUAGUAAUUGGAAUAAUAUGGCUGCCGGUCAGCCUUCUUCUAGUGCUGGUCUGGCAUUACAUUCCAAUACUUCAUUUCCCAUUCUUAAACAUCCCAAUGCACCAAGCCAUCAAAUCGUCCCUACUAAUUUGCCUAUCGAUUUUAUAGGUAAGGAAUUUGGCACAAAAAGAGAGCAAUUUUCUAAUAUUCUAAAACCUAAAAGUGAUGUAGAAAAGUUUCAGAGUUUUGUUGAAUCAAUUCCCAUAAAGAAAAUCCAGUACAAAGAAGGAAUCCCUAGAGUGGUGUGACAAAAGAGAAGGUGGAUAAAAUGAAUAUUAUAGAAAACCUUCAAUACGCAGUUUUGGGGAAAUUCUUCUAUGGGUGGCCUGAAAUAGAAUAAUCGAGAAUUCAAAUCUCAAAACAGUGCAAUAUUAAAGGAGAAUGUCAAAUUGGAUUGCCAAGAAGCAGACAUAUUCUAAUAAGAUUUAAUCGUCAGGAGGAUUUCAAUAAUAUGAUGUUUAAACCUACUUAUUGUAUAGUGGCUAAGGAUGGUUAUUCUUAUAUGACGAGACCUCUCAUCUAUGAUGCAAAAUUCAACACAGAAGAAGAGAUAACACAGGCGAUGGCAUGGAUUUCCUUUCUGGAUUCAAAACCAACAUACUUUGUUAAGGAAUCUAUGUUCUCUCCUACUUCAGCAGUUGGGAAGCCACUACAUCUUGAUAUAGCUACUAUAAACAAAACUCGACCUAAUUGCGCGAAGGUCAAGGUACAAGUGGAUUUGCUUGCUUAACUACGUAAGUUUGUCGAAUUGGAAGUGGGGAAUGAAAAUACAAAGAUCUCUAGGGUGGAAAGGGUAAAAAUCCAAUACGAUAUGCUCCCAAAAUAUUGCAAACAAUGCAAACUACAGGGACACAUUGAAGCUACUUGUUGGGUUCUUCACCCUGAACUUCAUAAAGUUAUUAAGGAGGCAGUUGGUCCUAAGGAGGGUGAUGGAUGUGAAGAAGUAGAAGUGGAUGUUCCUCAACUAGAAGCUCAUUUAAUAACGAUUGGACGACAUCUCAAGAAAUGACAACCUACAAGGAGAGUUAUAGCUAUUGAUAAACAAAGACUUAACAAAGAAGAAAAUGCAGAGUUGCAUACUAACAAUUCAUUUGCAACAUUACAAGAAGAAAAUACAAAUAAGGAGAUGCAUAUAUCACAUUUAGAAACUCACCAAUAAAUAUUAUGAAUACUCAUGAAGAGCAAAAGGAUGGAGAGGGAGAACAAUAAGAGAAUAUAGCACAAGAAUUAAACACAGAUGAUGAGCAGGACAUGAACAAAGUCACUAUUGCUGAUGGAUCUAAUAUGUUGAGCAGUAACUUGACAAAGCAGGAUGGGGAGAAGAAGGAAAUUGGCCCAGCAGUUGUAGGGGUUGAUAAGCAACAAAAAGUGAUUGAGGUUCCUAUUAUUAAAGGAACAUCUGCUACAAAUCAUGAAGAGAUUGUGAAGCAUUAUGAUGAAGUAGCUGAGAAAAAGAUAAGUGCACCUAAUGGAGGGAAUACUGAACAUGAUCAGCAGAGUCUAAUGAAUAAGGCACUAACAAUAUUACUUGAGGACCCUAUGAAGCAAAAUAAGGGUCUGAUGUUAAUAAAGGAUUUAUCUAAUGUUAUUUAUCAGAUGCCACUACAAGUAGUCCAUCAUAUUGAAGGAAGAUUCCUUCAUAUACAAAAUGAAUACCAACCGAUGGGAAAAUGGUUUCACGGGAUACUGCAAGAGCACUCAUACAUACUAUGCAUGGAAAUUCUAUCCCAAUAUAAGCAUUACAUGCUUUGGUUACUCAUCAGAACAUCAAUCAGGACACUAUAGAGAAUCUGCAAAUAAGCAUAGCAUCAGAAGAAGUAUCAGAAGAUAAAGAGGAAGGGGAAAAAGAUAGCAAUCUGCAAAUUGUUUGUAAAGAGGUUGGUAUAUCUCUCAAGGUGAUUUCAACUAACAGAAAGAUCAAAUCAAGAGGGGACAACAAUAGUGUUGUACCAACAAGGGUUCAGGGUAAGAGGUUGGUCAAAACAUGAUCUAAAUGAGUUACAAAGCCUUAUUCUGAAAUAUUAGGUCUGUUAAAUCUGAGCAGGCCUUUCAUAGAGUUCAAAUGUUACAAAGACACCACAAAUUUGUCCUGGUUUUUUUAAUGGAACCUUUCCAAGAUACUAGGAAUAUUCAAAAAUUCAAAAGGAGGUUGGGGAUGCAAUAUGUGAAUUUUAAUACAAAUGGGCAGAUAUGAAUUUUUGUGAAUCAUCAUAUUCAAGUGGGUGUUAUCUUAGAUUCAGACCAGCAAUUAACCAUAUUAUUAACAUUAAAAGAUGGCACGAAAGUGUUGUCAACUGUGGUGUAUGCUAAAUGCUCUGAUAUAGAAAGAUUAAAUCUAUGGGAUGAUCUAUACUCACUAAGCCUUAACUUCCGAGUUCCAUGGAUGGUGGGAGGCGAUUUCAAUGUUAUAUUGAGUGGGGAAGAAAAGAUAUGAGGGUAGCAUGUUUACCCCAAAAGUAUGAGGAUUUUGCAUGUUGUAUUGGCUCUUGUGAUUUAUCUGAUAUCAAGUUUAUAAGGAACCCAUUCACAUGGUGGAAUGGUAGGGUGAAUGAGGAAUGCAUCUUCAAAAGACUAGAUAGAGUGAUUGUUAAUAAAGCAUUACUCUAUGUAUGUGGUGAUAUUGGCUUACAACACUUAUCUAGGACUGGAUCUGAUCAUGCUCCAUUACUAAUAUCUUGUGACUUUAGUAUUAUACUUGUUGUCAAACCAUUCAAAUUCUUGAAAUUCUGGACUGAAAGAAAAGACUUCAAAGAAGUGGUUUGUCAAAAUUGGAUUGUUGAAGCUGAAGGUGAUAUCUUUAUCCAAUUAAAACACAAACAGAAAAGAACUAAGGCGUCUCUAUCUAAAAGGAAUAAAGAAAAGAUUGGAGAUAUUUUUAACUAGUUGGCUAUUAGGGAAGACAUUGUCAAAAUUAAAGAAGAUAUAUUCCGACAAGAUCCUAAUCCUAGCAACAGAGCUAUUCUGCAAUAGGCUCAUGCUGAAUUGAAACUAUAUUUGCAUCAUGAAGAGGAGUUUUGAAGACAGAAAGCUAGUGUUCAAUGGUUCAAUGAAGGGGAUAGAAACACAAAUUUUUUCCACUGCCUUGUGAAGGGUAGAAAGAAGAAGCUGAAACUUACCAGAAUUCAGAAGGUUGAUGGAACUUGGGCUGAAAUUAUUAAUGAAAUAGCCAAUGAAGGGUCUAUUUUUUUUUAAAACCAAUUCUCUAGAAGGUGUAAUUUUGAAUAUAUGGCCUUGUUGCAGUACAUUCAACCGAAGAUUACUCAAGAAGAGAAUACUUUUGUGAAGAUUUUGCCAAAUGAAGAGGAGAUUAAUAAGGUGGUGUUUGUGCUUAAUCCUGAUAGUGCUUGUGGACCAAAUGGCUUGAAAGGUUGUUUUUACCAAACUUGUUGGGAUAUAGUAGGCCCUGAUAUAAUUAAGGUAAUUCAUGCUUUUUUCUAGGGGGAUACUUUACCAAAGUCUAUUACACAUACUAAUCUGGUCCUAAUACCAAAAAAGGUAGUGAUACAAACCUUUUUUUAUCUUAGACUAAUUAGUCUGGGUAAUUUUCUAAAUUAUUUCAAGAAUUGUUCAUGAUAGAUUAGAAAGAUUCCUGCCAAGAUUACUUAGAAUCAAACUGGUUUUUUAAGGGCAGAAACAUUAUUGAGAAUGUGCUACUUGCUCAAGAAAUUGUAACUGAAGUAAGAAAAAGAGGCAAACCAGAUAAUGUGGUCAUUAAACUGGAUAUGGCUAAGGCAUAUGACAAAAUGGAUUGGAGGUUCCUAAUUAAGGUCGUAGAAAAAAUGGGAUUUGAUGAGGUAUUCUUGGAUAUGAUCUGGAGGAUUAUUACUAAUAACUUGUACUCUUUGUUGAUUAAUGGUCAAGCCUAUGGAUUCUUUCGAUCUAUAGGGGGUGUUAAAUAGGGUGAUCCAUUAUCCUCUGUUUUAUUUAUCCUAUCUUCUGAAGUCUUGACUAGGGCUUUGAAUCACUUGUUCUACAACUAUGAAUUAUAGGGUUAUGGAAUGCAUAAGUGGAGUGAACAAUUGAAUCAUCUUGAUACAAUUAUUUUUGCUAUAGCUGACAAUAGAUCCUUGCAACUUAUUAUGGUAACUAUUCAUAUGUAUGAAGAACAAUCAGGACAACUGAAUAAUAAAGAGAAGAGUUUUUGCUACUUACGCAGCAAGGCAGCUCAGACCUCCAUCCAGGUGGUGCAAGAGGUAAUUGGAGUUGAAAAGGGAUUUGGGGUGUCUAUAGGCCAUGCAAUGAUGAAGAAAGUUCAUUUCUCUGAAUUGAUUCAAAAGAUUCUUAACAAGCUUCAAAUGUGUAAAGGAAAGCUUUUAUCUUUUGGGGGGGAAAGUUGUGUUGAUUAAUCAUGUAUUACAAAGUAUUCCAAUAUAUCUUCUUUCUACUAUUAAUCCUCCUAAAUGUGUGAUCCAUGAUAUACAUAGGAUUUUUUUCUGUAUUCUUAUGGAAUGGCAAAGAAGAAGGAAGAGCUACUCACUGGAUACCUUGGAAAGAUAUUUGUUUGCCUAAGAUAGAGGGAGGUCUGGGUUUCAGAUCUCUAUUUGAUGUUACAAAUGCCUUAUUUUUUAAGCUGUGGUGGAACUUCAGAACCACUAAUUCUCUAUGAUCUCAGUUCCUAUGGAAUAAAUAUUGUAAAAGAUACAUGCCGCAUGUUGUUCAAUGGAAGGGAGGCUCACAAGUAUCGAAGGUUAUGUUGUAGGCUAGAGACUUGUUUGAUCAACAUAUCUUAUGGGAAAUUAAAGGAGGUCACUCUAGUGUUUGGUUUGACAAUUGGACCCAACUUGGGGGCCUUCACUUACAAACGUCUAUUUCUCAUGAUUUUGAUUGAAUCAGUGUAGCAGCUCCUCAAUGAGAAUGGGUGGAAUACUGAUGGGUUAAAUUAGAAUCUUAAUGAAGAAGUGUGCAAUCACAUACAUACUGUACUAGGGUAUAUAACAACUACUAAAAAAAUGAUAAAACUUGGUGGUGGAUAGCGUCUCGGAAGGAUUACAAUAGGAUCAGCAUGGGAGUUGUGUAGAUAUAUAAAAAAUCAUUUACUCAAUAUAAUGAACAUUUGGGAGAAAGGAUUUCCUUUUAAGGUGUCUUUUCUAUUGUGAAGGAUGUGGUUUGGUAGAAUUCCUAUUGGAGAAGUCCUCAUCACAAGGAAAAAUGUGGAUUUUGUUGAAUGUUGUUGCUGCCAUGCUAAGGUACAAGAAACUUUUAUCACUUACUCAUUGAAUGCCCAGAUGCUAAGGCUAUUUAAGAAUAUUUCUCAGAAGCUGCAGGAUUACAUAUUAAUGUAAUGCAGAUUAAUCAAGGACUAGAAGAAUGGUGGAGUGUUGAUUGUGUUUUUAAACUAAAACCCAUUUUUAAAACAGUUCCUACCUUUAUUAUUUGGGAAAUUUGGAAGAGAAGAAAUAUUCUUAUACAUGGGGAAAAGAUGAGUAGGCAAUCCAUGAUGGCAGAAAUUAACAGAAAUCUAUACUUGUUUACCAAGUGUAGAUAUCCAUGGUUGAAGGGUAUCCCUAACAAUUGGCCCUUGAUUGUAAAAUAUAUGGAGGAGUAUGUACCUCUUGUAAGACAUAAGAUGGUUGAGUAGAGUCACCCUCCAAAUGAAAGUUUUAAAUGUAACACUGAUAGAUCUUGUAGAGGAAAUCCUGGACCUCGUUCUAUGGUCUUUUGUGUUAGAAAUGAGUUUGGAGAUUUGGUGUUUGCUGAGUCAAGGCUACUGGAAAGGUGUACUGUUAUUGAAUCUGAUAUUAAGGCUAUUAGAAUAGGGAUUGUAUACUGCCAACAACACAAUCUACUCCCACUAAUUGUAGAAACAAAUUCCCUAAUAGCAUAAACGGUGAAAAAUGGAGUAUGGGAGGUUCCAUGGUCAAUAUCACUAGAUAUUAGACAUGUACAUGGGAUUAUCCAUAGUUGCCAGGUGGAGAUGGCGCAUAUAUUCAGAGAAGGCAACCAAUUGACGAAUUUUUCACUAACUAUGUUGUUAAUUUUGCAGGUACACAAGUGCAACAAUUCAAUAACAACCAAGACAUUCCACAACAAGCAAAGUCAAUCAUUUAUAUAGAAAAAUUACUUGUUCCUAAUAUUCGAAUAAAGAAGAUGCAAAAUAGGAUGUACAAGGUUCCAACCAGUGCAGAUGAAAAUUCAUUCACACAUUCACAGUUGGAGUUGAAACAUAACUAAUAAUUGUUUGUCUUUAACAGUGGUAUUAAUUCAAAUCAGAAUUCAACCUGUUGAGAUGUAUAAAUAAAGGCUAUGAAUCGACAAACAAACCUGAAGAUUAUAGAAGUUGGGAUACUUAACUUGAGUCUCUUUGUUGGAACUGGUCCGAGAAAAUGCUAAAUUUAAGAUUUGUGAUCCGAUUCAUACGAUACUAAAGAACAUUAUCAAAAUUUGUCAUAUGAAAAGCUUUCAACAACAAUUACCUCCAUAUCCAGCUAAUAGUUACAGCUCCCAGGUAGAAGAAGUCUUCAAUGGUGAUUGAAUCAUGACAUCUGUGAGAUUUUAGAUGUUCGAAUGAUUUCAACCCGUACUUGAUAGUGUUACACGAUUAAUACGAUAUGGAGGUAAGGUUGUGAAGGUGAGGUGUUCCCAGCGAUUUGUAGGAGACAACUAUGAGUUUCAUGAAGUGAAGAAGGAGAAGAUGAAUCGAUUUGGGAAAGUAGA